UACGGAGGGUGCAAGCGUUAUCCGGAUUCACUGGGUUUAAAGGGUGCGUAGGCGGACAGGUAAGUCAGUGGUGAAAUCUCCGAGCUUAACUCGGAAACUGCCGUUGAUACUAUUUGUCUUGAAUGUUGUGGAGGUAAGCGGAAUAUGUCAUGUAGCGGUGAAAUGCUUAGAUAUGACAUAGAACACCAAUUGCGAAGGCAGCUUACUACACAAUUAUUGACGCUGAGGCACGAAAGCGUGGGGAUCAAACAGG
rnacentral:rRNA from 1 species